GUUUAUAAAAAAAAGCCGUGAGCAUGUAUUAAAUUUUUUACUAAACAGUACAGUUUUGUUAGUCCUAAAACCCCAAAAAUUUUUCCCCAAAUCAGUUCCCCCUCUCUCCAAAUCCCUAAGUUUUUUUUCCCGAACCCUUUUCUUUUUUCCCCAAUUUUUUUCCCCAAAUCAGCUCCCCCUUUUCCCAAAAUCCCUAAGUUUCUUUCCCAGACCCCUUUCUUUUUUCCCCAAUUUUUUUCCCAAAUCAAUUCCCCCUCGAAAUCCCUAAUUUGUUUCGAAAUACCUUUCUUUUUUUCCCAAAUUUUCCUCAAAUCAGUUCCCCCUCCCUGAUAUAUGCGUAAAAUUGUUAUUUGUUGAAGAAGAUAAAGAUUGGCGAUUGCUUUUGGUACAAAGCUAUAUAUCAUCUCAUUUGUUCCUUUUUCUCGAUUUGAGAUCGGUGAGGUUUUCAAGGUUUUCGUCACUUUCUCCAACUUGCAUUGCUUCCAUUCCUAGCUGGUACGUUUGGAAUCAUGGGCACGACUCUUGACACGACGUUUGACUCGACGAAUAUUCUAUUCAUAAGUGAACACAGAAGUUGAUUACGAUAUCCAAUCCCUUUGGACUCGACCUUACUAUCAUUCUUUAUUGCAAUUUAAAGUUGUUUUUGUAGGAAUUAUUUUUGGUGGUUUCGACGCCCAUCAAAUUUUGGCACCGUUACCGGGAAUUGGAGAUAAUUUUUUAAUUUUUGUUUGUUUUCCUUAUGACCAGAUCAGAACCGGGAACUCUAGAGUUUGAACUAGAAAUUGAGAAAUUGGCCCGACAAUUGCAAAGAGAAGCCAUAUAACGUGGUAAACGGCCAAAUCCCGGAUUCGAAACCAUAUCAUGCACCGAAGAGAUUUUCUCAUUUGACGAACCAAACAAGAUGGCUGGGCAGACGAUACGCCAGCUCGCGGCAGCUCCGGAUGAACAAUAACCUUUAUAUAUAACCCAUUCGGCAGGAGGAACGUCGUUCGAGUUAAAAUUCGAUUUGAUUCAUUUACUACCCACCUUCCGUGGACUGCAGAACGAAAACUUGCAUACUCACCUUAAGGAAUUCCAUAUGGUGUGCACAAGCAUGAAGCCUCAGGGAGUAACCGAAGAACAAAUCAAACUGUGCUUUUCCUUUCUCACUAGCCGACUCUGUUAGAGAGUGGCUAUUUUAUUUGCCUCCAGGAUCUGUAAAUAUAUGGUCUGACAUGUCUUGUUUGUUUCUUGACAGGUUCUUUCCUGCAGCUGAGCAGCUGAACUAAGGAGGGACAUUGUGGGAAUCUGUCAAAAAGAGACUGAAUCGCUUUACGAUUAUUGGGAGCGAUACAAAAAGUUGUGUGCAAGUUGCCCACAACAUGGAUUGACUGAAUAGUCACUCUUGCAGUAUUUUUAUAAGGGAUUACUCCUAAUGGAAACGAAGAUGAUAGAUGCUGCAAGUGGGGGGCACUCGUUAAUAUGACGCCCCAAAGAGCGAGAGAGUUGAUUUCAACCAUGGCUGCUAACUCUCAACUAUUCUGACCAGCCACAGAACCCAUAAGAUGGGUUAAUAGGUUAAGUUCUCUAUCUCUAGAAGAUAAAUUGAUAAGCUAACUAAAGUUGUUCAAACUUUGCUUACAGAUAAAACGGGCCCAGUACGAUUGUGCAGAAUUUGUGCUAAGCCAGAUCAUCUGACGGACUCCUGUCCGAUUCUACAUGAGGAUUCGAUAGAAUAAGCAAAUGUUGUUGAGAACUUUCCAAGACUGCCCCAGAGGUAGUAUAACCGCUACUCAAACUCGUAUAUUAUGGGGUGGAAAGAUCACCUAAAUCUAAGUUAUGGGUCGAAUCCUCAGUUCAAUCAACCUUACCAACAAAGGCUUCCUCUGAAUCAACAAUUACCACCUUCAAAUUCAUCUUUGGAAGCCAAAGUAGAAAGGCUAGUCAAUAGUACUGAGAAGUUUCAGCUAAAAAUUGAAAUGCAUUUGUAAAAGUUAGAUAAACAAGUGAGCAAGCAUGCGCUCACGGUUAGCCGUUUGGAGUCCCAAUGUAAACUGUCGUCCUAAACUAAGCCUAAUCCAAAACACAAUGUAAGUGCUAUUACGUUAAUGAGUGGGAAGAUUUUGGAGCCCAUACCUGGCAUAAGUUGUACCCACAACGCUGGUCGAGAUGAGAAGAAACUUGACACAGAGGCUCCAAUAAAGUCAGCACCACAAAAAUCAUUUGUAGUACUACCUCCAUUUCCUGGAAGACUUGCCAAUGCAAAAAAGAACGAGAAGAGAAAAAGAUCAUUGACACCUUUCGAAAGGUAGAAAUCAACAUACUUCUUCUUGAUACGAUUAAACAAAUUCCAUUGUAUGUAAAAUUCUUAAAAGAAUUAUGCACAAGUAAGAAGAAGCUCUUGGGAAAUGAAAAGGUGAGUGCCGAAGAAAAUGUCUCCGCCGUUUUACAAAGGAAAAUACCACUUAAAUGUAAGGACCAAGGUACGUUUUCCAUAUCUAGCAAAAUAGGUAGUGUCGGUAUUAAAAAAGCCAUGUGUGACUUAGGCUUAUCAAUUAAAAUAGGUAGUUAAAUUUGGCACGGGCUGGGACACGACCGUGUGCUUCAUAUAGAAUGCCCACACGGCCUGAGACACGGGUGUGUCACUUGGUCGUGUGAGCCACACGGCCUACCCACAUAGGUGUGUCUCCCUUGCACCUAAGUGAAAAUUUUUGAAAUUUCACGAAAUAUUAUCUAAGUUCUUAAUUUAGUCCCGACUUGUUUUUAACUCAUAAAUUGGGCCUCGAGGGUCUAGCUAAGGGACAACAUGAUUGAAUAUAUUUGGUUUCGAGAAUAAAUAGUGAAUUAUAUGAAUAUGUUCAUAUUUGAUCUAUAAACUCUAGUAAUGCUUCAAAAUCCUAUUUCGGCGAUGGAUAAGGGUUAGAGGUAUUACAAGUAUAAUCUUGGCCAGGAUAAUGUGGUGCCCGAUACUCUUAUUAGAAGAUCUAUGUCCGAGUUGAUAGCGAUAUUUUCUCGUCUAAGUUUGUUUGAUGAUGGAAGGAUUCUGGCCAAGUUGCAAGUUAAGCCAAUUUGGAUGAGUGAGAUUUAAAAAUAAGCAGCUUUUGAAUGGGUCUCUGAUCAAUCGGGUUCAACAGAUUGAUAAGGGUAAGAUUUUGAAUUUCGGGUUUAAUAGCAAUGGUAUUCUGUGUUUCCGAGGUAGGAUUUGUGUGACGAGUGAUGUAGAUUUGAGGCAAUCCAUUCUGCGGGAAGCACAUAGUAACCCCUAUGCUAUGCAUCCCAGUGGUAAUAAUAUGUACCAUGACAUCUGAGUUAUAUUGGUGGGCUAAAUUGAAACGUAAUGUAACCAAAUAUUUGUGUCUCAUUGUCUAAUGUGGCGGCAGAUUAAGGCUGAGCACCAACUUUCUUCUAGUUUGCUAUAACUCGUUAAGAUUCCAUUGUGGAAGUGAGAACGAGUAACUAUGGACUUCGUUAGUGGGUUACAUUUGAUACCUACUAAGAACGAUUUUGUUUGAGUUAUUGUGGAUCGAUUGACUUAGUCUCUUUACUUUAUUCCGAUCAGGACCAGUUAUUCUUUACAAAAGUUGGCGAAGCUUUACAUUUCAGAGAUAGUUAGGUUUCAUAGGGUUCCGAUAUCAAUUAUUUCAUAUCAAGAUCCUCGAUUUACUUCUCGAUUUUGGAAGAAAUUACAUGAGGUUCUAGAUACUCGAUUGGACUUUAUUACAGCAUUUCAUCUGCAGACUGAUGGUCAAUCUGAGAGGGUAAUUUAGAUUUUAGAUAAUAUGCUUCGGAGCUAUGUUAUUGAUUUCCAGGAUAGUUGGGAGGAGUUUUUGUAGCUAGCUAAAUUCGUUUGUAAUAAUAGUUUUCAGUUUAGUAUUCAUAUGGCUCCUUGUAAAGCCUAAUAUGAUCGUAAGUGUCGCACUCCACUUUGUUGGACUGAAUUGAGUAAAAGGAAGGUGUUGGGUCCUGAGUUAGUUGUCGAGAUUGAGGAUAAGGUUUACUUGAUUCGAGAUUGACUUAAGGUCAGUUCUAAUAGACAGAAGCCUUAUGCGGAUAUUAAGAGGAAGGAUAUUAAGUUCGGGGUGAGGGAUCGUGUAUUCCUUAAGGUUUCUCCGUGGAAAAAGGUUAUCAAAUUUGGUCAUAAGGGCAAGUUAAGCCCUAGGUUCAUCGAGCCAUAUUAGGUUUUGAAGCAUGUCUGGCCAAUUUCUUAUUAGUUAGAGCUACUUUCGAAGUUGGACCACAUUCAUGACGUCUUUCAUAUGUCAUUGUUUUCCUUCCUAUGUUAUUCCGAUGGAGGAGAUUGAGUUGAGGCCAAAUUUUUCCUUUGAGGAGGAGUCGAUGCAGAUUCUGGAUCAUAAGGUUAAGGUCUUGAAGAGAAGGACCAUUCUAUUAGUUAAGGUUUUAUGGCGGAAUCAUGGUUCAAAAGAUGCCACUUGGGAGCCUGAGGACUCAAUCCGUCAGUAGUAUCCCUAUCUUUUUUAGUCAGGUGAAGGGUGCGAGAAUCAAAAUCCUCUAGUGGAGUAGUCGUUUUGACACUGCUAUUCUUUGAAGUAAGUGCUCAUGUGUUGAUUUUAGGGAUUGUUUUCUUUUAAAAAUAGGUGUAAUCUAGUGGAAUUUUGGGUUAAUUUGUAUUUGUUAAUCGUUGUAGUUUGGUGCCAUAUGUAGGAUUCAGAAUGUAUUGUUGUGUGAUUUAUCAUAACUAUCAUCAGGUGUGUAAGUCUAACCUAAAAACUCGAUUGGAACUCGAAAAACCCCGAAAAAUAGUGGUUGUUUUAAAAUUACACGUCACAUGGCUGUGUGGCUGGCUGUAUGCACUACACAGGCAUGUGGUUAAUCGUGUGCACUAUACGAGCGUGUGGUUGGUCAUGUCCAUCAUAAGGAUGUACAGUCGCCCGUGUGGGGCACAUGGGCGUGUGUGAUUACACGAGCUAAACAGGUAAGUCAUGUGAGCCACAAAGGCUGGCUUGUUGGGGCAUGUAAGCCCUUUUCGGUCAAUUUGAAGGCCUGAUUUGGGGCCAAUUAAGAUACUCUAAAAUUGAAUCCGUGAUUAUUUUAGAAGCUUAUAAAACAUAAAUUCAGUAUGUUAUGUGUUAGUAUGCUUAGAAUGCAUGAUUAGUAGGAUUAAUUCUGUGUGAGCAAUAUGAUAUGAUCUAUGAAAAGAUGUUUAGGUAUGAAUGUCAUACAUUUUAUGUGAUAUGAUUAUAUGUUAGUUUGUUCAUGCAUGUGCAUUGAGAUGGGUCCUGAUAUGUGAUGGAGGAAGUGUUUUUGGUAGUUUUAUUACAAUUUUGGCUGUUAAACCGUAAUAUCUGUCUGAUAGCUCAACUACACUUUUUUGAGUGGUAUAACACCACAUAUCAAUGUGAUUGGAUAGAUGAACUAUUGUAGUCCUAUUUGGUGUGAUUAGUUGGAUGGAGUUGGUGUGUAGUGAAUGGGGGCAAGUUUUGUUUUGAUAUGAUGUAUGUUUCUGAAAAUAUGAAAACCUGUUAUGAUAAUUGCAUAUGAGUAUGUUAUAAGUAAAAUUAUGUGUGUAGAUCAAGUCACACACUAGGCAUCCAGCUUAUUCCUCUAUUUGAUUCGUUUUAAGUGAUCCUCAAACUUAGGAUUUGGCAGCGAUUCCAGAGCUCGAUUCUGACAUUUUAGUUUUAAGUAUGUUUUGGAUUUAAUUUAGGUUUAACGAGCUUUCGGACAUUUUAAAAUGUUUUUAGGGCAUUUAUUUUUGUAUUUGUUUUUAUUUGCAAACAUAAUAUUUUUAAAUGGUAUCUGUAACAAAGACGACAUAACUGUUAAAACACUAAGAUUUUCAAAAUUAAUAACUCAAAAAUAUUUUUUUGUUGCAAAUGUUUUGAAAUCAAGUAAAAAUGUUGUUUUGCAAUUAUUUGAUAGUUUAAGUGAAUGAGUUUGUUUAAAAAUAAUUGAAAAGACAAGUUGUCUUCAAAAUGCGCUCUCACACGAAUUUUUGGACACUUUUGUUUUUUGUUAAAUUAAAUAAAUUUAAUUACAUUCGAUUUAAACAUAAGUUUUCAUGAAAAUAAACGAACAAUAUUUUAUGUACCAAUGUAACUUUCAUAAUCCAAUCGUAACGUUUAAGUCGAGUGUGGGGUGUUAUAGGAGAGGAAGGUUAGUGGGUUUUUAUAAAAGAAUUUAUUAAAAAGAGACUUACGGAGAUUAUGACUAACGUCUCUACAAUUAACAACUCAAGAGACGCGAGAAAGUGUCUCUAUAGGUAAUCCAGAGAUACGCAACCUAGUGUCUUCAUUAGUUAGUUUUAAAGAAUAAAAGGAAAAUGCUUAUAUAUUUCACAACAAACAAUCGAUUCAAAGAACUUACUUACAUUGGUGUUGAUAAAUGAUAAAACUAACAUAUUUUAAUCUCGUUUUUAAUACAUUUUUGGAUGAAUAUUUAUGCAAAUUGGUGAAUUUGAUGUCCUAAUCCUUUGAAUUCAUGUUCCUAUACUUAGAUGAGCAUUUGAGAGCUAAAAGAGCGAAAAACGAGUGAAAAUCAGUCAAAAAGAGCAGAUUUCAAGAGCUACAUGAGUUGGGCCUUUCCACACGAGCUAGACACACAACUAUGUGAGCCAUACGAGCUAGACACAAGGCUAUGUGCCAGGCCAUGUCGAUUUCGCAACCUACUUUCCAAACACGCGAAAAAACAUAAUUUUUAGGCUUUCUGAGUAUUCUAAAGUCUAUAAAUACCAAAUAGAAGAGGAGAUAUAGGAGGAUCAAAGUAUAUUGAAGAAAACAACUUAAAAAACACCAUUAGAGCCAACUCUGAAGCAGAUUUCCAUUAAGAUCGAAAACCUUCUUCUAAUUUCUUUUGAAGUUUUUAUGAGUUUCUUUGUUUUUUUGUGGUUUUUUUGACUUUGAGAUGUUUUCAUUUAGAAUUAUGAACUAAUUCCCUAGAUACCUAAGAAAGAUGAAACUUAUGAUGAAUCCUAUUAUUUAAUUUAUAUUUUAUGCGAUAAA